rnacentral:rRNA from 1 species
AUGCAAGUCGAGCGGGGGAAGGUAGCUUGCUACUGGACCUAGCGGCGGACGGGUGAGUAAUGCUUAGGAAUCUGCCUAUUAGUGGGGGACAACAUCUCGAAAGGGAUGCUAAUACCGCAUACGUCCUACGGGAGAAAGCAGGGGAUCUUCGGACCUUGCGCUAAUAGAUGAGCCUAAGUCGGAUUAGCUAGUUGGUGGGGUAAAGGCCUACCAAGGCGACGAUCUGUAGCGGGUCUGAGAGGAUGAUCCGCCACACUGGGACUGAGACACGGCCCAGACUCCUACGGGAGGCAGCAGUGGGGAAUAUUGGACAAUGGGGGGAACCCUGAUCCAGCCAUGCCGCGUGUGUGAAGAAGGCCUUAUGGUUGUAAAGCACUUUAAGCGAGGAGGAGGCUACUUUAGUUAAUACCUAGAGAUAGUGGACGUUACUCGCAGAAUAAGCACCGGCUAACUCUGUGCCAGCAGCCGCGGUAAUACAGAGGGUGCGAGCGUUAAUCGGAUUUACUGGGCGUAAAGCGUGCGUAGGCGGCUUAUUAAGUCGGAUGUGAAAUCCCCGAGCUUAACUUGGGAAUUGCAUUCGAUACUGGUGAGCUAGAGCAUGGGAGAGGAUGGUAGAAUUCCAGGUGUAGCGGUGAAAUGCGUAGAGAUCU